GUUGAGAGAGACUUCAUCCCAGAAUAGCCAAUACCCCAGAGCAGGAAUUUGAACCGAGGUCUCUCCCUGAAAAAUACAACAGAUGUUACUGCUGUGUUGGUAUUCCAAGAAGGAUGAUCUGCUGACUGGUCUGGAUUUCUGGGCUUUAGUCAAGUAACAGCCUUGCAAAAAGGACACGUUUGACACUCAACUGGAGUCUUGUUCUUCUUUCUCUUUUACGUAAUCACUGCUGCUGAGGUAUCAGUAUCAAGGCACAGCGGAGUUGUAAACAAGGAAUUUACAAUUCUGUAAGAGAAGCACCACACAAUGGGGGAUUGCUCAACCCUGUGACUCAGCAAAACCCACCAGGACGUGUCUGGGCUAAUGUUUUCCAAGCACAUGGACUGAGGAUAUAAAAUAAGGGACAGUGGCAUCAUGCUUUUGCCUUUCUCCUCCUCCACCUACCCGGGAAGCAACAAGAACGCUGGGAAGACAAAGACUUGAACUGUGUAGACUGGUCCCAGGCUUAAAGGGGAAGCCUGUGUAUUAAGAACUGUCACUUAGCUACAACAUCCAGUAGGGUGAGAAAAAUUGCUUGAUCCAAAUACUGCCUAGUUUAAUAAGGUUUAAGAUUUAGACUGUAUGCUUAA